GUCCAUUCUACCUGCCAGGCACUGUACUCAGUCCUGGAGUUAAAGGGGUCGAGAAGACAGGCAGAUAUGUCUCCACCUUCAUGGAAUUUAGGCACCCAGUGGAAGAUAAUACUUACAUGGAGACAACAACCUGCCCAGUUGUGGGACUUUCUGUAGUAGAAGAGCAGCCUGGUUUAAGCACUGAGAAAGCCUUCAUUUCAGGAAAAAAAUAUUUAGGAAGGACAGUAUCAGAAACCCAAGGAGAGAACCAAAUUACAAAACACUGAGAAGUUAAAACACGAAGGGAUUUUGCACAACAGAAGACUUGAUGUCAGUGGCCUUUCCUGUCUUUUGUGAAAGCUUAAACCCUCUGAAGAAAUUAUGCCAGGUGUUCCAGAGAGGGAAGAGAGAGAAGUGACUUUCAAGGCGAUUCCCUUUUCUUAGGAAUGAGAUGACGUUGGAGGCCUCAGUGCUGGCUGAAGGAGAGCAAGAUGUCUGCCUUCUCCCUGUGUUCUCACAUGGCCUUUUUUCUGCACACCAACGUAUGUGGUGUCUCCUGCUUUUCUUGGGAAGCCAGAGGUCAUGAGGACACUUAAGUAGCCUUGUGUGGAGGCCCGUGAGUGGAGGAACAGAGUUCUCCUGCCAACAGAGGAUUCUCCAGCCCUAGUCAAGCCUUCAGACGACUGCAGCUUGGUAACAUCUUGACGGCAAGCUCAUGAGAUCCUGAGCCGGAAGCACUGGCUCAAUUGUUCCUGACUAGAAUCUGUGAGCACAUAGUGGCUCCCAAGGACUGAGGAUCUUCAGCAAUCUAGAAGGCUGGAGAAGCAGGAACAGAUGUGUCCAGUGACUUCCACAGACCAGUGCUCCUGGAUGCUCCUGUGGCUCAUCUACCUCAAGCUGGGUGGUCCCUCUCUGCUGAGGACUGUUACUGUAUGAAUCCCCCAAUUAGUCAUGUGGCUCGGAUCAAGAGGAAAUGAGGACACGGACACACAUAGAGGAAAGACCACGUGAGGACACA